CGAAAACAUAAGUACACAACUUCUGUGUGUUCAACUUCCCACCUAAAGAUUCUCUCUUUACAGAUUUUUAGGAAGUAGUGAACCCCCCAAAAGCUCCUGUCUUGUGUUUAAUCUCGGCCUCCAUUGAUGGAGGAGAGUCCAAUUCAAGAGCAAGAAGAUGCGCUUCUGGUUUCACCAACUGGCGGAGGAGACCCAUUUCACAAAAAAGCCUACUUUCUGAAACCCAUUGUCCCUAUUUCCUCCAUUGAUCGUGAACCUCCUUUCAAGCUCCCUCAGUGCCCUUUUCGUUUCGACCCAAAAAAGUGGCCUUUGGAGGUUGAAUUCCACGGUUGGCGACAAGGUCAAGAAGAUUGGAAUUCUUGGGUUGAUCGCUUGGCUCCUCUUCACCAAUCUACAUGGAAAAGAGCUGGUAUUUAUGAUGCAAUCUUUAAUUCUAAGUACCAAAUAAGAAGAAAGACUGAUUUGGUUUUCGGGUUUGCGGAGAAAUGGUGUUCUGAGACCAAUACCUUCAUCUUUCCUUGGGGUGAAGCAACCAUUACAUUGGAGGAUGUCAUGGUUUUGGGAGGCUUUUCGGUUUCCGGGGACUCUAUUUUCAGUCCACUUGAAAGCAUUGAACUAAAGGAAGUGGAAGAGAGGUUGAUUAAGGUAAGGAAAGAAGUUAAGAGAGCGAAGGCAAGCAAAUGGCUGCAGAAGUUUGUGAACAGUCAGAGUGAAUUGGAGCAUGAAGCAUUUCUUGCCUUUUGGUUGUCAAGGUAUGUUUUUUUCGAUGGUGAUAGUUUAAUACAAAAGCGUGUUUUUCCCCUUGCAAUUCAUUUAGCUAGGGGGACUAGAAUUGCACUUGCACAGCCUGUUCUUGCUGAUAUUUAUAAUGAUUUGAGUUUGUUCAAUAAUACAAUUGUGGCCUCAAAUGAAUUAAAUACCGGUGAUUGUGUCUUGAACGUGAAACUCAAGUCACCGUUUCAAUUAGUUCAGGUUUGGGCUUGGGAAAGAUUUUUGGAACUUAGGCCAAUAUUCAAUGUCAUCAAAUAUGGUGAGCCGAGAUUGGCUCGAUGGCAUAAAGCAAAUGGUCUGAGUAUUGAAAAUUUAAGAAGUGUUUUAGACUCAGCUGGAGAUGCCUUCAUGUGGCGCCCUUAUGCCAUGGCCAUUGAGAACUGGAAUUUUCCUAAAUACUACUCGGAAAAGGAAAUGUGGGUUGGUCCUGGUUUGGAUGAUGAGUUCCUGCAAUUUUCCAUGUUCUUGAGGGUGACGAAGUUAGUUGGAUUCAAUACUAGGAAACAAUACUUUCCACAUCGAGUAGCUAUGCAAUUUGGAUAUGAUCAAGACAUUCCAUGUAAGAUUGCUCAAUCCAAAGUAUCCAGGAAGCAUUGCAGUGACAAACCUGAGAUUGUAGGAUUCUACAUUCCAUCCACACUUUCUGAGCCGAAUGUUAGUGCAAGAUACUUGAAGUGGUGGAAUGAAUCAGUGUCAGGUCUCAAAGACACAAGUGAGGCCGCUAUGCCCCAAAAGAAGAAAGCAAAGAGGAUGGAAGGAUCACUAGUAAGGGCUAAACAAUCCCCAGUACAUCCUGAAUAUCCUCUUAAGAAAAAUUUAGAACGUUCUAAAAAGAGGAAGAGAAAGGAGAGCUUAUGCUUUAGGCAGAGUGCCCCAGACAUCAUGGUUGAAGAAAAAGAAGAGCUUAUGGUUUCACCAACUGGUGGAGACCCAUUUCCCAAAAAAGCCUACUAUCUGAAACCAGUUGUGCCUUCCUCCACCGAAAAACCCCCUUUUAAGUUCCCUACUGAAUCUUUCUCCCCCCUUCCUUCUGAUUUUGAGCCAAGAAAAUGGCCAUUAGAGGUUGAUAUCCCUGGAUGGAGAGUUAAGGGUCAAAAAGAUGAUUGGAAUGCUUGGGUUGAUCAAUUGGCUCCAGUCCACCAAUCUACGUGGAAGACAGCUGGCAUAUAUGAAGCCAUCUUCAAUUCGACCUAUGAAAUAAGAAGAAAAAACGAUUUGGUAUAUGGAUUUGCAGAAAAGUGGUGUUCUGAGACUAAUACAUUCAUUUUUCCUUGGGGUGAAGCAACAAUCACAUUGGAGGAUGUUAUGGUGAUGGGCGGCUAUUCCGUUCUUGGAGAGUCGAUUUUCAGCCCUCUUGAAAGCAGAGAGCUCAAGGAAAUAGAAGAGAAACUUAAUCAAGAGCGAACAGAGAUAAACAGGGGUGCGUCGCAUAGACCUUCUACUAGCUUAUGGUUGAAGAAAUUCAUGAACAGUGGGACUUUAUUGGAGCACGAAGCAUUCCUUGCAUUUUGGUUAUCAAGGUAUGUAUUUCCGGAUGCUCGUAGUACAAUACAAAAGCAUGUAUUCCCAAUUGCAAUUCGUUUAGCUAGGGGAACCCGAAUUGCAUUUGCACCUGCUGUUCUUGCUAGCAUUUAUAAGGACUUGAGUUUGUUGAAAUGCGCAAUUGUGGAUACAAGUAAGUUAAGGACAGGUUGUGAUGCUAUAAAACUCAGCAUCAAGUCACCAUUUCAGUUUGUUCAACUUUGGGCGUGGGAAAGAUUUGUAGAGCUGAGUCCAAAUCCCAGAAUGAUCAAUUUUGCGCAGCCAAGAUUGGCUCGAUGGGACAAAGUAAGUGGCGUGGAAGUUGAAAACUUGAGGAAGGUUUUAGAAUCUGCCGGAGAUGGUUUCAAGUGGCGUCCUUAUGCCUUGACCAUUGAAAACUGGCAGUUGCCUAAGUACUAUCCUGUAGAGGAAAUGCAUGUAUCAGAUUGUUGGGGUUUGGAUGAUGAGUUGCAUUCAUUUUUCAGAUGCUUGAGGGUUAGUGAGUUAGCUGGAUUCAGUACCAUUGAGCAGUACCUUCCGCAUAGAGUAGCAAUGCAAUUUGGUUUCGAUCAAGACAUUCCAUGCAUUGUGGCUCGAUCCAAUCAAAGUUCUGAUAUAGCCUGGAAUCAUUACAUCAAGGAAAUUCAGAAUGCAAGGUUGUAUGUUCCAUCCAGGCUUUCAAAGGCAGAUAUUAGCACAAGAUACUUGAAGUGGUGGAAGGAAUCAGUGUCGGGUCUCAAAAAGUCCACCAUGCCAAAAUUAGAAAAAUCAAAAUGCAUGGGAGGAUCCCUACCUAGGGCUAAACCUGCCCCUGUAGAUCCUGGCUCUGCCCCAGAGAAAGCUGUAGAGGGUUCUAAGAAACGGAAGAAGAAUAAUGAUUUCACUCUUCCUUCUGUUUCUGUUCCAAAGUACUCAGAUGAAGGUGAUGAUUUCCUUGUUCCGCUGGGAUUUCCUCCCAAAUGUAGCGUAAUGGAAGCUGGAUGUUCAGUGGACGAAGAUGGACUAACUUUAUCAGAAAUUUGGAAAUAUUGUAAGAAACAGAAAAAUGUAAAUACGAGAACAUGUGGUCAGCGUAAGAAGUUAGCAGGUCAAGUUCAAAGUCUGGCAUCUUCAAUUGGAGCAAGUUCUGUUGAUACUAUGAAGUCAGAGAGGUUGGAAGCUAGAGGUCUGAUAGACGAAGAUGGACCAAGUAAAUCAGAAACUUUUGAAAAUUCUAAGAAACAUAAAAAUGGUGAAACUAGAACGUGUGAUGACAGUGAGAAAUUAUCAGGUCAAGGUCAAGAUCUGGCAUCUUCAAUUGCAGAAAGUUCUGUUGACACUAUAAACUCAGAGAGAUUGGUGACAGAGGACAUGUUGAAUGAAGUUUUGAUUGGAAGAUUCAAGGCCGAAAGAAACCUGAAAACUGUGAUGAGGAGUAAUGCAAGAAGUUCAGAUAAUGAGAUGGCAAGCAUCGUUGACAAUGAAUGUGCUAGCAGCAGCUCUCCAAUUGAGAAACGGGUUUCAGUGCUUAAAGCUAGGGCCAGCAGGCUUGAGAGUAUAGUUAGCAUGUUGAAAGAAAAUUAUCCUUGGACCAAGUUCUAGGGUAAAGCAAACGAAACAAAGCAUCCUCUGAUUUGGGAAAUGGAAGGGAGAGUCAAACUCUGUCAAAUCAGGAACUAGGUUAUCUGUAGAUAUUUUAUGGAUUGAAGCAGAAUGCAGUUGGAAUAUCUUGGUAAAUGGGAAGGGGAGCCAAGAGUAGAACUCUGCAAGUUUGAGGAACUUUUCUCUUUUGUAGAUGUUCCAUUGCUUAGAAGGCAGCCAGAAUCUCUUGAACAUGCAUAAACAAAGUGGGAAUUGCAUGCCGGAUGGAAUUACCAAGUUAUUGUUGAACACAACGUUACCAACUAAUAACCUCAAGUCGCAGAGUCCAACAUUUAUACUAUUACAUCAACAAAGGACUGAAUCAAAGAAUAUACCCAUCAAUCAAAGGGCAGCAAUAAGACGAUGGUUCAACAGGAGACCUCCUGCAGCAUCCAUCAAAAACUUGAUCUUGAUUUUGUUCAGGGUGGCUAGAGCCUCUUGCAUACUUCCGGUGAUUCUACACAACAAGCAAGAGCAAAUCUCAUAAUGGUUGGUAAGUACUCUCUCUUGCUGACAAAAGCUCAUCUUCUUCAAUCCCAAGUAACUUCCAUCAACAACUUCAACUAUUACAUCUGCAAAUAGUGAAUUUGCCACCCGUUUCUUUAAACUCACUUCCCCGUCAAACAUCUCAUCUGUUGGCUUCCUUUUUGUGAAUGUUUCCAGAAGCACAAUACCAAAACUGUACACAUCCCCUCUUGUAGUAACCAUUCCUUCCAUUC